GCCGGAAUAGCUCAGUUGUGAGAGCGUUAAACUGAAGACCUAAAUGUCCCGGGUUCCGACA
rfam:Schistosoma margrebowiei strain Zambia genome assembly, scaffold: SMRZ_scaffold0000503